GUGGGUAUACUUGGAUAUGGUUUCUUAAUUGAAGAGAAGCACUCAAUCGAGUUGGUUGAUGUCUGAUUUACUGAAAGCUUUGUGGGUAUACAUGGA